CUCAAUUCAUAUCAGAAUUUCCUGGGAUAGUUUUUUGGGUAUCUCAAUUCAUAUUCACCAGCUGAUUCGGGGCUUGGCUGGAGAUAAAUUAAAAUGCAUCCAUUAAUUUAUUAAAAGUAUUCAUACAUUAAUAUGUGUAUAUGUGUGGCAAACACUAUUUGAUAGCUAUUUGUAGAUAUGACUCUUACAUAUUCAACUUGUGAGGCUAAGAAAUGCACAUAUUAGCAAAGUGUUACAUGAAAGAAACCAUGAGCCCUCCUCUUCUAAGUGUCUUCUCACUAAAAUACUUUUGAAAACAUAGGAAAAGAUGAAAACUCACAACAAAGUUGAAAAUAACAUUAUAGACAUUAUCUAGAUAAAACUAAAAUUACUGAAAGAAGACAGUUUAUUAAAAAACACUCAGCUGGCUGUGAUGGCUCACGCUUGUAAUCCCAACACUUUGGCAGGUGGAGGUGAGAGGAUCACUUGAGCCCAGGAGUUGGAAGCUGCAGUGAGCUAAGACUACACCACUGUAAUCCAGCCGGGAUGACAGAGCAAGACUGUCUUAAAACACACACACACACAAACGCACACAUUUUUAAAGAAAAAAAAUAAGAACACCCAAGCUUUGUUUGACACAUGAAACCUGAAAAACAAAAACAGGAGAUACUACAUAAUUCAUUCAUCUUUUGCCUCUGAAUUCAGAGACAGGAUCUGUAUCAACCAGAAAAUUGGUAUCCUCUUCCUGCCUGUGUUCUUAUAAUACCUAUAAGAAGUAGUACUUAAUAUAAAACAAGUGGGUAGGAAUUGUAUGUGUAUACUUCAGUGGAGAAGGUAGCCAUAAUCAGGGAACACAGGAGCUAUUAAUGUAUGUAUUCAUUGCCUUCAGAUGGGGCAUGAGCAGAUCCAAAAAUUAUUAUUAUUUUUUAGUUUCCUUUAGUAAACAGUGCACAGUUCUGCGAAUUUUCAUUUUUGGACCAAUGAGCAUUACUCACAAGUAAUUACUUACUAGUAAUGUUAUUACUUACUAAUAAGUAAAUUGCUAAAGUCCACUAAAAUUUGUUUCCACAAAUGAAAAUCAGUGUUUUAUUAGCGUUUACUUGGGACUCUACUUCCAAGAUACCUGAUUCCUGUACAAGGUUUGUAAUUUUGCAAGAAUGCAUAAAAGUGUAUCUAUAGAUAUUGUCACACGGAUAGCAAGUCAGACAACUGACAGAAACUCCCAUGGUCAGUACUCAAGCAUUUUCUUAUGAAUGUAUCAUCGUUGUCGGGAGAAGCUUAUGGUUUUCCUGCUAUUUUUGCAUUUCAGAUAUGUAUUAUUUUAGCUUGAUAGCCAUUGAGAUUGCUAUAGAUUAUUUGAUUUGUGUGUAGUGAUGUAUAUAUGCAUAUUUUUCACUGUAUUUUUCUAGUUUUCUAUAACGGUUUUAAAAAAUAUUUUCAGUAGAAAAAUAAUUAUGCUCUCAUUACUAAAAAUAAAUAUGCGUAACUUACCCCUCUAUAUUGCUUAUAACAUUUUGAUGAUGUAGCCAGUGAAUAUGUGCUAAUUUAAAUAACUUGUAUAUAGAAUUAAGCCAACUGCAAUAUUAUAACUAAGUUCUUUUUAACUUAAUAGGAUAUUGUUUUAUAAUAUUUAAUCAUAUGUUCAAGCUCAUUCUCUUUAAAAAAAUAAACAAGCAAUUUCUGUGUA